AGCAGUCGCCGCGGUAAUACGAAGGGUGCAAGCGUUACUCGGAAUUACUGGGCGUAAAGCGUGCGUAGGCGGUUUGUUAAGUCUGCUGUGAAAUCCCCGGGCUCAACCUGGGAAUGGCAGUGGAUACUGGCAAGCUAGAGUGUGUCAGAGGAUGGUGGAAUUCCCGGUGUAGCGGUGAAAUGCGUAGAGAUCGGGAGGAACAUCAGUGGCGAAGGCGGCCAUCUGGGACAACACUGACGCUGAGGCACGAAAGCGUGGGGAGCAAACAGGAUUAGAUACCCGGGUAGUCCCUGUCUCUUAUAA
rnacentral:rRNA from 1 species